UUAAUAUUUUCUUAAGAUUUCUAGUAAUAUUAAAAUUUUUAUAUCACUACUACGAUCAUAUAAAGAGGUUUCGACACUCGCUAGAGAAAACCGUCCGAAAAUUGAGUCGUGUCUAGUUGUGAAAAAUCAUCAUGGAAGUUCAAUAAAAUCCAAGUUUUUGUAAGACAGACAGACUCCUUGUCUUCCAUGCUGAUUUUUCGCAGGUAGUCACACUCGAUUUUCGUUAAGCUUCAAUAUUAUAUGAGUGUCAAGACUCGAGAAUUUUUUAGAUCAUGAUUAAUACUGUCAGAAAUGUCAGAGCUAUCUUGACUUAACAUCCUAUAUUAUGUGAAUCUGUCCUUAAGAAAAUUUCUUAAGAAUAAUUUUAAAAUGUUCAUUGUUUAAUGUAUUUAUUCAUACGUUUAUAAAAGUAAUGAUCUUGCAUUUAAAAGGGGAUGUGUAUAUAAAUAUAUGUAUAGAUCGUGAAGAUUUGAAGUUCUACACCUAAAAUUGAUAUACAUACAGAUUUCAACCUCAAAAAUAUUUUGUGUUUGGUUGAAGUAUUAAUUUCAUAAUUUAUUAAACUUCAUAACAUACAUGAUAUAAUCUUUUGCAUACCAUGAUAUAAAAAUACUAUGAAAAGAAUAAAACUUAAGCCUAAAAAUCCAAACCCACUAUUUGAGCUCUGGUUAGAAGAAUGGAGAAAAGAGGCUGCAUCGAGAAAUUCCGACUUGCAAUAUCAUUUUUCGAAAGCACUUGCUGCAUUAAAAAAAUAUCCCUUACCAUUAAAAUCUGGGAAGGAUUGUAUAAUAUUGCAACACUUCGGCACAAAAUUAUGCUCCAUGUUAGAUAGAAAACUCAAAGAAUAUAAAGUUCAAAAUAAUGACUCAACAAGUGUGAAGAAUGUUUGCAAGCACUGCAGUUUUAAUGAACAACCUGUAUUUAAAAGGAAACACAGAUCACAACAAAUUAUUGUGGACACAGAUUUCGUACCUGAAAGAACAGAACUAACAAUAUUUGAUGACUUAAAUUUAUCAUCUUGGAAUGUAGAAAAUUAUGCUGCCUUAUUGAUAUUAUAUAAGAAAACACUAGACUCAUGUUAUUUAGGAUAUACUACAGAAACAGAUCUACUGUUGGAAAUGAAACAAUUGUGUGGGCAUGGAGCAAAGACUUCAAUCUUAGAUUUGUUUGAAAGUGGAUUAAUUUCUAUGAUAGGUAGACCAAUUAGGUAUAAUCUUACAGAGCAUGGUAUAAGUAUUUCAAAGAAGAUAUGUGAAAUUACAAAUACUGAUGUAAUAUCAUUAAAUUCUUUUGAAGUAUUAAAUAGAAUUCAAAUCUCAUUAAAAUCAUUGAUUACCCAAAAGUCUAAGUUAAUAAAAGAUUCAGCCGAUCUUAAUAAUAGGAAUGAGGAUACACAAAUAUUUAUACAAUCUGCUAAGGAUAUACAAACCAAGAAUUUAGAACCUCCAACAAUAUAUAAGUCUAAAUCUGUAGAAACUAUUACUAUUGAAGAUCACUGCCAACAAUUUGAUAAAAAUUUUGUAAAACAAAAAUCAACGGAAAAUAUUGUCUAUCCAAAAAAAAUGCAAGAAAAAACGAAAGAAGUAAAAGAUAUGAAUCAUGUACAUAAUUUAGAAAAUAAUGAAACAGAUUUUACAGAUGAUUUUCAAAGAAACUAUUAUUUAGAAUCAAGUAAUUUCGAUAUAAUACUAUUAGUAGAUACACAAGAGACUGCUGGUGGUAGGACAAAACCUCAACAUGAUGCUACUAUCACAGGACUAACAGAGUUUGGUGUAUCAUUUGAGAUACGUCAUUUAAAAGUUGGUGAUUUUGCAUGGAUUGCUAGGUGUAGAAGAAAUAAAAAUAAUGAAUUAAUUUUACCCUUUAUAGUAGAAAGGAAACGAAUAGAUGAUUUAAGUGCAAGUAUUACAGAUGGAAGAUUUCAUGAACAAAAGUUUAGAUUAAAGCAAUCUGGAAUUACAAAUCUUAUGUACAUAAUUGAAGAUUAUGAGAAGGGUCAAAGAUUGACAAUACCACAUUCAUCAUUGAUGCAAGCUUCCAUUAAUACUUUGAUACAAGAUGGAUUCUCUGUAAAAUAUACUAAGAAUCAUAAAGAUUCUAUGUUCUAUUUGUCAUCAUUAACUAGAAUUUUAAUAAAAAUGUUUAAAGAAAAAAACCUGAUAGGUUGUAAAAAAGAAGUUAUCACACGAACAAAUAUUUUAAAUAAUACCUGUAGUCUCAUGGUAUUUGAAGAAUUUAAUAAAGCAGCUUCUAAACAAAAGGUUUUUAAAGUAAAUCAAAUGUUUGUCCGCCAACUGCUACAGUUAAAAGGAAUGUCCAUAGAUAAAGCCUUAGCAAUUGUAGAACAUUAUCCAACUCCCCGAUUAUUAGUUGAAGCUUUUCAGAAGUCUGAUUGCAAUGGUGAGUUAUUAUUAGCCACUAUUGAAUUUGGUGAUAAAAAACGUCUUAUAGGAUCAGUAAUUAGUAAAACAAUUUAUCAAUUGUAUAUGAAAAAAGAUCUAAACUGAUAACUGAAAUUUUACACGAAUAAAGACAUAAAUGAAUAUUAUAUGUACAAAAAAAUGAACAAAAUUUUAUACAAUAAUGAUAUAGAGAAUAAUACUUUUAUAGAAUUAUAUAUUUUAUAAUGUUCAUACUCUCUGUAAAACCUUUUAUUAUAUAUAUGGUGUUGGGCUCAUUAAUGAUCACUACUAGUUACUAUUUUCAAAAUAUUUAGCAAUAAUACCCCAAUGAGUACAUGCCACAAAUUUCAGAAUAGCAGCAUCAGUGACAAAUUGAUAAAAAAUUUUAUUGAACCAGAAUAUAACAAUUUAUUGACGUACUUGGUAAAGUAUAUCAUUUUAUUUCAAUAAUAUAUGUCUUUUUUCCAUUCAGAAUGUAAUCAUAAUCAUAUAACAUUGACAUAACUCUUAGAAAAUGUAAGAUUGGGUUAUCAUUAAACCAUAAAAUUACUAGAAACGAAUAUUUUCGAGUAGGUACGAACGAUUAUUCUCUCAGUGACAAGAACAUGGUGAAAUACGACAUACAAGCUUUAACAGUCUUGAAAUUAAAGAAUUAUUAUUACUAACAUCCGCUUAAAUUAUUAUAACAUGAUACUUUUAUUAAUUUCCAUUAUUACGUACUAUUCCAAAACUUUCAAUGUUCAUCUUGUAUAUCCCCGCUGCUGUCAAUAUACACGGUUUGUUGGACCUCACUUGCAUUAGGUAAAAUACCUUUUGAGCUUUUGUCGGUAUUUUAUACCAAUCCGAGUCAUAUCUGCCCCGAAAUCCAUAAGUUUAGAUUAUUUGCGGCUUUCUUUAUUUUAUAUGUGUUAAAAACUUACAUUUUAUUGGCCAAUUCUACGCUUUGAUCCAGUAAUGUUUGCCCUGGUAGACUAAACAUGUACAAAUGAAAUUGUUGUGCUAUAAGGUAGACAAUAGCCCUGAUGGCUUCUGCCGGUCGGUCCAAGAACACAAUUACCUAGAAGGUAAAAGCAUCGGUUUCGUUCUUUCUCAAUACUUAUUCGACUCAGGAUGUUCCUCCUAAUUCAAACUUUUAUAAAAAGAAUUAAAAAAACAUGGUAGUUACAUAAAAACUGUUUUACAUAUGUUAACAUUUGCAUUUUCAAGAAAUGCAGAAAAAAUCAACAAUCUAGUAAUUUCUAAGGUGUGUAAAAGAUGUUCUUACUUCAACAGCUGUUACGCUGAGAAUGACUGCAUUCAACACCAUCGUAAUCAAGUACAAAUUCCGGCAACAUUUCUCGAGGGCGUCAUAAAGUCUUAAAAUAUGACAAAUGAACCAAAGUCAGUUCAAGUUGUAUUAAUUUCUUAUCGAUUAUUAGUUUACUAUUAACUAGUCGGACUUAAAACUAUACAGACUGAAGACAUUUAUAAUGCAUCAUCACGCAUUCUUUGAAAGCAUCGUAUCCAAUGUUGCGUAUGUUAAUGCCAUUUUUCUCGACAAAAUUAUUUUCUGCAGUUUUCUGAACCUGGGAUCUGUACAUGCGAAUAAUUGAAAUCCAAAUAAGUAAACAUAUACAAAUGAAGUAUACUCUUUACCGCGUAAUACAAUUUUUGCCUUGUUUUAACAGAAUUUUUAUUUAAACCAUUGUAUUUACCCACACACUGCAAAUAAUCCGCAAGCGUGAUAAAUAAUAGUAAUGUAUAACGAAUCUACCGAGAUUAUCGUCACCACGAUAAUAAUCGCACAAAGAGAUAAAUGCACAUACACGAUGUAAAAGUGUUCUUCGUUAUCUAGGAUACCAUAGUGAACUUGAAAUACAUUAUUUCGUUGUCGGGUUUCGUUUAAUGGUAUAAUAAUAUCUAGGAUGGGAUUACAUAACGGAAGGGACAAAAAUAUUACGAGAGCUAUUAAUAACGUUCCUGGAAGAAUUAUUUUUAAUUAAAAAUUAUUUUUAUAUCCAACAAUUGUUGUGGAAGUAUAUAAUAAAAAUCAUAAGAUGACCACUUACUUCUGUACAGACAUGCAACUUUAUUGCCGUGUUUGGUAAAUUUAUCUAGCAUUUGUAAUUCGUUUUUUGAUUCCAGUAAUUUCCAAUCUUCUUCCAGGGAAUUAAAUAAUUUUCUAAACUAAUGAUAUCUUGAUUAUUAUGACUUUGUAUGUGAAGGAGGUAUUAAAUACAUACGUACCAGCGUUUUGUUGGAAUAGAUGUUUAGUAUUUUUGUAACACUGACAAGUACUGUAAGUAUAUGCGGUAAAUUUAGGAUGACGUUAUCGAAAUCUUUGUCACGUAUGGCAUCGUAUAGUUGCAUAGACUAUGGAAUCGUGAAUCCCGAUCAUGUAAUAAUAUUAACUGAUUACUUAUUCUGCUAUUUAUUUAUUUUUCAUUAUAUUCAUCGAUUAAUAAUAAUAAUCAUAAAAACGACGUUUGAACAACGCAAUUUCAUAGCGUACGUUCCUCUUACCGUUGGAGCAAAGAAGCUCAUAAAACUGCACAUUAUUGCAAUUACUAUAAUAUUACUGGUACGAUCUUCCUGAUACGGAUUUAUCCCACAAAUUGACAGAUACUGUUUAAGCGGCUUAUGGUAGCUAAUAUCGAACACAUUAAAAUCUUGCUUGCUGUUUGCCUGAAACACUGAACAUUGCCGUUUAAACUAACAAUUCAAGUAUUUAUUGAAAAAUGUGACUCAACAUUGAAUUAGAUAUCGUAAUGUAAAAUAUGCUAGAAUGAAGAAGAAAAAGAGAAAAUGAUAUGAUGUGCAAAAAUAAGAAAUUUAUUUCGACAUCUAUUUUUUGGUAAUUAAAACACUUAUAAUCAGUGAAUUAUAAGACCGAGUUACCGCAAUAAUCAUAAUUUGAUAUCAAAUUUUUGUAUAAAUUUUUACCUUUAUGGACACAAGUAAAGAAAUGGAACUUAUAUAGAGAUUCGCUUUACCGAUUAAAAUUAAUAUAUUUUGGUAUAUUAUGAGAAAUCUAUGAAAUUUUACAUCUUUAAAUUUCGCAUAAUUGCAAAAGAAUCCAGUCAGUCAUAAUAUAGAAUAUAUCCAGUUUUCUCUUACUAUUUAAAUUUCUUAGAUCUGUCUAGUACAAUCGACUUAUUAGUAAACGAGGCGGCGAAAGUGAUUUAACGAAGUUGUAUGAAGUAUGAAGUAUGAAAGUUGUUCUUUAUAUUGUACACCGAGAAAUUGAAAUGGAUCCUACGAAUGCACUUAUAUUCCUUCACCCGAUGUCUGUGAAAGCAUGUAAUUUUUACCAUCGAAUUAGUUUGACGGUUUGCUUACCGGCAAGUAUGCAUUAUAGCACAAUGUUGGGUAGCACGACAUCGAAUAAUAACCAUGUCGUAGAUGUGAAAAUAAUAGGCCAUCGGUUGCUGGAGUGUCAAUCAUUUGCGUUGGGAAUUGAAAACCUGUGGUUACUCUGAAAUAUCGACCUCACUGGUUGUGACACAACCUUAGUCGAUGACGAUCGGCGAUAGCAGUAGGUUUUCAAUCAAUUUAUUCCUUGAAAAUUCUUUGGUGGUUAAUAUCUUACGAGCAAGAAGCAUGCGUAUGUGUGCGAUGGACAUUGCAGUGACACUCAAUUACUUAUUGCGUUGUAUAUUUGUAACGCAUCGUUCAAAGUUUUAUACGCAUAUUAUAUUAAUCAACAAGCUGCUAUAUAGUAUAUUCGGCUACAGGAACCAAAGUAGGUGAGCCUAAGCAGCGGGGUACACAGGGUUCCUUAAAUCGAACGAUAGAUGGAUAGCAGCUUAUCUUGUACAAGCCGUAGGGAAAAGGAUUACAACAUUCGAAAAUAUAACUCAUUAUGCCUACUGAGUAAAAUCCAUAUAUAAAAUCCAGCAUAUUGAAAAACUGUAUAUGAAUAUUGGCGAAAUGAUAUCUUACGCGAACAAUGGUUAUGAAACUGUGGCAGCACUCGACAGCAAAUACCACCGGACGACACCAAGUGUCGGAAUACGGCAGCGCAAUGGUUAACGCCUUAGGUUACAAACAUUCGGGACCCGCCUUCAAAUCCUGGCGACCGGAGUCCAAUUUUUCUUUCCACGAUUCUUAAAUGAGAAGAAAAUGCAGCAGUACCUACCCCAACAGCGACAUCUACAGCCAGCAACUAUAACUAUCACGGCCUAAUCACCUCAAAACUAACUACUAAUCUUGUUAAAAUGCUUGGUAACAACGUAAUUAUGUAGAAAUAUGAUAAAAGAACCAAACUUAGGUCUAGUUAUAUUAAUUUCUUAUUGAUUGUUAGUUUAGAAGAGAUAUAACGCAACAUCACAUAUUCUUUAAACUCUUCGUACCCAAUGCUCUUAAUAUUAGUGCCAUUUCUUUUCGGUAGAAUUAUUUUCUGCAAUUGAGAUCUGUAUACGUUAAUAAUUGAAAUUCAAAUAAAUGGACAUUCAUGAAUGAAA